rnacentral:rRNA from 1 species
GAUGAACGCUGGCGGCGUGCUUAACACAUGCAAGUCGAACGAAGUGAUUAUUCAAAGUCUUUCGGGAUAGUGGAUAAAUUACUUUGUGUCGGACGGGGGUGUAACGCCUGGGUAACUUGCCUCACACAGGGGGAUCACAGCUGGUAACGACUGCUAAUACCGCAUAAGACCACAGCACCGCAUGGUGCAGGGGUCAAUGAUUUAUCGGUGUGGGAGGGACGUGCGUCGGAUUAGAUAGUGUGGAGGGUAGAAGCCUACCAGAUCAAGGAUCAGUAGCCGAGCAGAGAGGGAGGGCGGCGACAUUGAGGGUAAGACGCAGCCGAAACUCCUACGCGAGGCGGGAGUGGGGAAUAGUGGACAAUGGAGGAAACCCUGAUGCAGUAACGACGCGAGAGUGAAGAAGUAUUUCGGUAUGAAAAGCUCUAGCAGCAGGGAAGAAAAUGACGGUACCUGACUAAAAAGCCCCGGCUAACUACGUG